GUAACUGAGGGGGGGGCAACCUUUGACCUGGAAACAAAACGAGUACAGCAGUAAUUAUGGCGCCAGCUGAGCAUGCGGUCUAUUAUAACUAGAAGCUGCCUGGGCGAGAUGUAGAGAAUCAGAACGAAUCUUUUGAGUCUGUUAUCACCACGACUAUCUGGGGCAGCUUCAUCAAGGACACACCAUCGUAUUUGCAUAGACUUGUGUUUGGAUUCAAUAAAAUGUCUAGAAACUAUCAGUUUGUUUGUCUUUUUUAAACUUUCUAAUGUUGCUUUUGUGUUCUUGAAUCCUACAUCACUAGAGUCUACACUGCAAGAUGCAAACCACUAAUUAGCCUUAAAACCAUGGCCAGAUUACAGUUUGCAAAAGAGUACUUUUGUCACCUUCUGAACACUUUUUUCAGUUCAGUUAUUUUCAGAUUGUUCACCAUAAACAAAGACUUUUUUAAUUUGCUUUCCAUCAGCAUGCAAGCUGAACCCAAAGUCCCGAGGUGCAGAAGACCCAAAGCCACAAAAGGAGCUGAAGAAAACUGGAGACGCUGCAAUCGCCGCAGACAAGGAAGAACAACCACCUAAGUUUUUUUUCCUAAUAUCUUCAUAACACCAGUUGAGUUGAAUGGAAUGCACAACUCAAUGAAGAUUUUUUUCCUGAAACAGAGAAAUAAAGCAGCUCCAUAGACAUCAGAGGUAAAAUGUGCACUGCAUAAAAACAAGAGUACAGUUAUGUAGACAUCAAACAUGUGCAUGUUAAUACCAUAACCAUCCAGUAGUCUAUGCAAACCAAAAUAAAUACGCCACGUAGAAGCUCUACAAGUGAUAAUGGGGAAAAAUACCACUUACAUUUUCAGCCGCAAUAAAAGUUAAAAUCCGAUCUAAAUUCUUUAUAAAUGGACAAAUUCUUUGCUAACAAGAAUGGCUGGUGAUAAUGAUUUGCCUUAGAUUGCCUAUUAUCUUCAGCCUCAUUGUCGGCACUUCUUUGAGGGUAAGUAUGAUGUUGCACAUUCAUAGAGUUUUGAAUGUGCAGCAUUUGGUUUGUCACUACUUACUUCAAGGUAUUUGCUACAGAGGUUAAGUAAGUGACAGUACAGGUGACUAACAGAUAAUCACAUGUGCCAAUUGAAUGUGAGAUUCUAAAGAGCAGUGAUACUUUAAGGGGUUAUUCAACUUCCAAAUACUUUUAUUCAGAUUGUUCACCAGAAAUAAAAACUUUUAAAUUGCCUUCCAUCUCCUCUU